AAGAACUUGGAAGGGUAGAGGGAGAAUUAUUUUCCCUCCCCUGCAGUGUCACAACACUACUAACAGCAGUAAAAGCUGAAAUGACCGACCUCAACUUGUACUGAGCCCCUGAGGAUGUUUUGGAAGCAGGAGGGGUGGAGCUGAAUUUUCUGAGAGGCUGGGCACAUGCAUUGGCUGAAAGGACAAGAGAGAGGGGAUGGGCCAAUGCUGGAAGGACAGUCCACCGUUCAGACAGAAGGAAAUACACACCGAAUGGAAAAUGAAGACACAGAGAUCAACAUCCAAAUCCUAAAAGCAGUAACAGUGCAGUGCUCAGUAAACGGCUUGGCAAGCUGAUAAGAAAGCCUGGGUGCUACAUCCUUUGGCACUGGAAGAAGGUUCAAACUGGGCCAGCACAACCCUACCCCCAACCACAAUAAAAACUCAAUCUCCUUUCCCUGCUCUCAGGCCACUUUUCAGACCAGCUUGGGAAUCCUAUUUUG